rnacentral:tRNA from 1 species
GAGCCUAUGCGCGAGUGGUUUAGCGAGUGCUCUGCAAAAGCACGUACGUCGGUUCGAAUCCGACUAGGCUCUC